UCCCCAGUGACUGAGACAGUAAAGUGUUUGCUUGCAGUGCAGGAGAUCAGGGUUCAAUCCCUGGGUCGGGAA
rnacentral:tRNA from 1 species